UUACGGCCAUAUUACGUUGAAACAUCGGUUCUCCUACGAUCACCGAAGUUAAGCAACGUCGAGCCUGGUCAGUACAUACGUUGGUGACCACUUGGGAAUACCAAGUGUUGGAAG